rnacentral:rRNA from 1 species
GACGUAGGGAGCAAGCGUUGUCCGGAAUUACUGGGCGUAAAGAGCUCGUAGGCGGGACCGUAAGUCCGAGAGGAAAUCUCAAGGCUCAACUUUGGGGCUUUCUCGGAUACUGCGGUUCUUGAGGAUAUCAGGGGACUGUAGAAUUCUCGGUGUAGCGGUGAAAUGCGUAGAUAUCGGGAGGAAUACCAGUGGCGAAGGCGACAGUCUGGGAUGUUCCUGACGCUGAGGAGCGAAAGCGUGGGUAGCAAACGGG